rnacentral:rRNA from 1 species
CCUACGGGUGGCAGCAGUCGAGAAUCAUUCACAAUGGGGGAAACCCUGAUGGUGCGACGCCGCGUGGGGGAAUGAAGGUCUUCGGAUUGUAAACCCCUGUCAUGUGGGAGCAAAUUAAAAAGAUAGUACCACAAGAGGAAGAGACGGCUAACUCUGUGCCAGCAGCCGCGGUAAUACAGAGGUCUCAAGCGUUGUUCGGAAUCACUGGGCGUAAAGCGUGCGUAGGCAGUUUCGUAAAGCGUGUGUGAAAGGCGCGGGCUCAACCCGCGGACGGCACAUGAUACUGCGAGACUAGAGUAAGGGAGGGGGAACCGGAAUUCUCGGUGUAGCAGUGAAAUGCGUAGAUAUCGAGAGGAACACUCGUGGCGAAGGCGGGUUCCUGGACAUUAACUGACGCUGAGGCACGAAGGCCAGGGGAGCGAAAGGGAUUAGAUACCCUUGUAGUC